rnacentral:lncRNA from 1 species
AUGCAGAGCGACGUGUGCUGUGCUGUCUCUCUUCUUCUCAGGGAACCUCUAGGUGCGUCUAGUGAUCCUGCCGGGUCUGAGAGCUUACCAGCACUGCUUCACCACUGUAUCACUAAAGCCAAGGGAGUGGCUGCCAACAACAAUAACAACACAACCUCCGUAAGGAGAUCAGGUGCGUGUCCCUCUCAGACCCAGCAGCAAUCUCAGACACCCAAAGAGGGAGAGGAUCUCCACAGAAAGAUGAAAAGGCAAAACAAGAAGAACCCCUAUGUGUAUUUGACCUCCUUCCUGCACCGCAGGCAGUCUGAGGAGGACCAGACAAGCAUACUGGCCAGUGCAGACUCCGAGGGCCCAAAUUAUGGGACUCUACGCUGACCCGUGUGUCCACCAAGCCAUUGGACUCAACUACACUGACCUCCCCGCAAAAUGAACCCACCUCAGCCCUCCCUGCUCCACCCCGGUCUCUAGCUAAUACAUUUCUUAUAAUCUCUAAAAGUUCAUCGGUGUUUGGGGAGCGGGAAACAUCCAGCUGAAUACUCCGUGGGUUGGAAAUUUAAUUUGAAAAAACAAUGGCUUCUCUGAGUUGUCACCACUACUUGUCUCUGAGGAAUUUCACUUGAAAAUGCUCCGAAAAAUAUAUAAUGUAUAUAAAUAGUAAAAACAAGGGAAUUAAGCUUCCUCCUACAGUAAUAAAAAUGUGUUGGUUGAGUAUGUCACAACACGUUAAAGAUUUUUCACUCACUGGUCAUUGAGGGGUCCAUAUCUUUAGGUUUUUCAGUGAUACAGUGUACUGUGAAGACUGGUGCGUCCUCGGACAUGAGUCUACCUUUCCUACAAUACAAAUAGUGUCAGUAUUUAAACACAGGGUUCUUACCACAAAAUAUACCUCAGAGUAAACGCAGAGUUGCUGUAAUUCUUGGGGUAUACUGUACGUACUUGACCUUUUUACAUAUGAAAUGUAUGGAUUAAAAGGUUUAUAUCACACGCCGCACUCAUUCAAACGGAUAAUAUGGCCUAACUUUAUCUAAUUUACAAGCUUUUUACUAUCAGUAAUAGCUGGAAUCUUGUGUUUUUUUUUCAUUUAUGAUCAAAUGCCAACCAUUAGAGGACUGUCUUAAUUGUAGUGCUUGGUGCUUCAGUGUGUUUACACUUAUCAUUAGAGCACCGCAUUAAGAUAGAGAUCAUAGCCUUCAUGAGAACUCUCAAAAUAAUUUGGGACUUACUCGGUCAACAGAGGUUGGACUUGUAGGGUUAGAAGAACAGGGUGGUGAAUUGUGAAGUGUACUGUAGUAUGUAUUUAAUUAUUAAGGAAUCAUUUGUGGAACGUGGCACGUCUCGAGGUGCCUUUUUUUGCCUUUUCUCUUGUUUUUUCUAACAUAAACUGCCUUUUCCUUCGCCUUCUCAUAUUUGUCUGUUCGGGGGUGACUCCAAUAUUAUGUGUUUUUACUUUCUCUGCCAAGGACACGUGAGAGAAAAUGCUACAGAGGAUGCAUAACUCUUGCUUUUUUUGUUUUUUACAUUUAUAAUUUUAAUGGGUACCUGCUUCGACUGUGUACAUCCAAGUAAUACGACAGAACCAGAGAACCCAUACAAAUAAUAACAAAUUAGAUUAAAGGACGGCAAAUAAAUCCAAUAAAUCUAACUUCAGUGUAAAAGUACAGAAGCAUUGAGUUUUCAUGCUGAAAGAACAAACCAGUGGAGUAAAGAUGUUAAUGUUUAACAACAGCUGUUAGAGAAGAAUGUUAUUCAUAAAGCUAUUAACAAGCAAUGAGAAAUAUUCAAACAAUGGCCACCCUGACUGUUUAUCUUUAACAACUGUAUAUUACUUGCUAGCUACUUCUCUGUAUGUUUGUUAGUUUUUCGACACUAACCGAUAAUGAAUGUAUGUUUUGCUGUACAGGAAAUGAAUGUCCCGAUGUCAUAGUACAUUGAAUGACCCAUUACGUUGUUUAUAGUGCGGCUGCGAUUGGUGCGAUGACCAGUUGACACUUUAAGUCCAAAUUGUUUAACUUCUCUGUGUUAUUCCUGUUUGCGAUAAUAACUAACGGGCCCCACAUAAGUUCUGAGCCAUGCUCCCUUUCUUCUGAUGGCUACAAAAACUUCCUUUUACUGCAAAUGCUAGUUCAAUCACUCAAAGACAUAUCAGAUAUAUUUCCAUCUGCUACAAACAAAUCAGAGGUUUGAGUAUCCACGUGAAUGAAUCGACUCAAUGUCUGCUUAUUGAAAUCUCUUUUGACAAGUGAGAGAGUGAUGAUUGCCUGAAAGUGAGCGUCAAAGUGCAUAUUCUACUUUAACAAAUUGGUUUCAUGUAAGAUACGAGUAAAAAAACAAAUCUAUAUUUGUAAUGUACUGUACAUGGUAUGUAUUGUGUUUGUAAAGAAGAAUCAAACCAUGUUUUACAGGAAGACGUUCUUGUAUGAGGAUGUAUGAAAAGACGGGAAGAAAUUAGAAGAAUAAAUUAGAUUAUAUAUAAAGUAUUUGCUUACAGUACGGCUUUAAGUGGAUAAUGUUUCUAAAACAUUUUAAGGUGCCUCAUUUGUCAUACUUUAGCAGACAUUAUUUUAUCUGAGAAGAAAAGAAACCUUAAUGUUAGUACCGUACGAUGUAUUAUUGCCAUAGCCCGCUGGCUGCACAAGUUAAGUAGUAUUUUCUCUGAUGUAUAGUAUGUGAAUGCCCUUUGGAAAAAGCUUUAGAAGCAGAAGUGUGUUUCCCUCUAUAAUAUUCCUGGAACAAAGUAAUACUAGUAGAUUCACUCCAGAUCUUUCGCCUUCAGGUGUCCAAAGCAAAUAAACUGAAGGAAACUUUUUACUAAGAGCCACAGACAUGCUCUCAUCAUGUACAAUAUGUGCUGUGGAGGAAAUUGUGUUUACAUUAGUUUGAUAAAGAAAAGUGUGUUAGGGCAUAGUUGCUUUGAACAUUACGACUUGGUGCUAUGUUUAACUUUGUGGUGCUGUAGAAUAGAGGUCUAAAGAUUUUUCUUUUCUGUUUCCACAAGCAACUCUUUCGGCCCUGUGUGUUCGAGCAACUAAACUAGCUCCAGUAGACACUAUAGGUCAUUAUCAUAACAGUAUCAUGGUGUGAUGACAGUGAUAGACAAAUACUGGAAAAAUAGUAGUAUAACCUCGAAUAAUAGAGACUUGUGACAUUCAAAUGAACUCAAGAUGACCUGUUUUCUAUAGUGUGUUUGCAAUGUCUGUCUGUGCUUCCAAGGUACCCUCUCUAAAGUAUAUUUGUGAUGAUAUUGGCAAUAUUAACCCAGCCUAAAAGGAGAAGCAUAACCUGGCUUAGAUUAGUACACAACCACAGGACACAUGGGAGGGAAUCUGAGAGCAUUGUCAGGUCGCAAGGGGAUCUUUUCUACACACUUCCUGUAGGUCUGCCAUCUUUGGUUAACAGCACUGUUUUUCAAGCACACUAUCUGCAGGGGCGUAACCGUCUCACGUCAUCUCACCUCUUCUCUGACGGUAGAAUUCUUACUAGUACUGUACAGUAUGGCCACGAGUAGUCAUCAGACCACAUUUGUAUUUAUUGCUGAUUCUCCUGGUAGAAAGGUAUUGGGAAAGCUCAUAAAUCCUCUCCGUGGGUUUAAAACGAAUGGAUGUUGUCUUCCGGGCUUUUUUUUGCAUAUUCAACAGAAACAUGUACAGCGUUUAAGAGGGCUGCUUUGGACGUACUGUUAGCUCAAUUUUUUUUUUUUUUUUUUUUCUGCUUACAGCUUUUAGUGCAUCACUGGUAGGAUGAUGCUUAGAACCGAUUUGAUUUUUUAUUGUAUUAAUCUUGCAUGUAGAGACAAUACAAAAAAACGCCUAUUUAGCAAUCAUUCAUGGAAAUCCAAGCUGGUUGUUAUUGGACGGAAAAUAGAAAUAUUUAGUAUUUUCUAUAUUCUCUGUUUUUUCAUGUGUACCAGCACUGAGAAACUAGAAUGUAUUAUUAUCGUAGGCUACAAUAAGCACUACAUCGUUGACUGUUUUAGCUAAUGCUCAUACUCAAGCAAACCAAGUAGUGCUUAAAAAGGAAGAAAAUUGACUACAUUUCAUUUCAUUUUCAUCCACUGAACUCUGUCCUGUUCAUCACAUGUUUACAUUCUGUAUUCUAUGUUGUUUAUUGUUUUUUUUGUGUACAUAAUUCGUCUCCAUAAUGGUCUUUAAGUUGUAUUCAACACUGUUCAUAUGUAAAUAUUUCAAAGCAAACACAUUUUCUUUUUUACUUUUCUCUGUUUUAAAAUGAUAACCUGAUGUUUCUCUUUUUUUUGUUUUUAGACUUGUCUUUCUGUUCUGUCACUACAUCAGGUAUUACGCUUCACUUAACUUUCUGUGAGCAAUUAACUCAUACUGUAUGGUGCUGUACCAAAGCCUUAUGUAUCAUAUUUGUAUUACUUUAUCUCUUGUUUGCCACUGCUGUCCAGUGAACUCUGUAUUGUCUGAGAUCAUGUCUUACUCACUCUUCAUGUUCAACUGCCAUGGAUCUCAUUUCUUUUUUGAGUAAACAGAAACCUGAACGAACUAUGAUGUAAAAACUCUGGCCUGUAACCAACUGGCCUGGAUAUGUAGUGACAGUCGCCAUCGAAAGCCUUUGUAAAGAAAAUGCACAGGCUCGCUCCUGGUGGCUCAUCGUGACGUAGACAUGGGCCUAGCACAUGAUCUAUGCUCUAUAUAUGGCAUGUCUAUGAGAAUAUGAAAACAGUGUUGUAUUCAUGUCACCAUAUCAUUUCAAAUGCUUAGUCCCAUACGAAAUUUUCCUCUCAAAUUUUUGUAUUUUGAUAUAAUAAAAAAAUCAAAAGAGGUUUUAUUUUUUCUUGUGGUUUUGUUUACCCAGACUGGAGCC